GCGGAGGGAUCAUUACCGAGUUUACAACUCCCAAACCCCUGUGAACAUACCACUUGUUGCCUCGGCGGAUCAGCCCGCUCCCGGUAAAACGGGACGGCCCGCCAGAGGACCCCUAAACUCUGUUUCUAUAUGUAACUUCUGAGUAAAACCAUAAAUAAAUCAAAACUUUCAACAACGGAUCUCUUGGUUCUGGCAUCGAUGAAGAACGCAGCAAAAUGCGAUAAGUAAUGUGAAUUGCAGAAUUCAGUGAAUCAUCGAAUCUUUGAACGCACAUUGCGCCCGCCAGUAUUCUGGCGGGCAUGCCUGUUCGAGCGUCAUUUCAACCCUCAAGCACAGCUUGGUGUUGGGACUCGCGUUAAUUCGCGUUCCCCAAAUUGAUUGGCGGUCACGUCGAGCUUCCAUAGCGUAGUAGUAAAACCCUCGUUACUGGUAAUCGUCGCGGCCACGCCGUUAAACCCCAACUUCUGAAUGUUGACCUCGGAUCAGGUAGGAAUACCCGCUGAACUUAAGCAUAUCA
rnacentral:misc_RNA from 1 species